rnacentral:rRNA from 1 species
UACGUAGGGGGCGAGCGUUAUCCGGAUUUACUGGGUGUAAAGGGGGCGCAGACGGCGAUGCAAGCCAGGAGUGAAAGCCCGGGGCCCAACCCCGGGACUGCUCUUGGAACUGCGUGGCUGGAGUGCAGGAGGGGCAGGCGGAAUUCCUGGUGUAGCGGUGAAAUGCGUAGAUAUCAGGAGGAACACCGGUGGCGAAGGCGGCCUGCUGGACUGCAACUGACGUUGAGGCACGAAGGCGUGGGUAUCGAACAGG